UACGGAGGGUGCAAGCGUUAUCCGGAUUCACUGGGUUUAAAGGGUGCGUAGGCGGGCAGGUAAGUCAGUGGUGAAAUCCUAGAGCUCAACUCUAGAACUGCCAUUGAUACUAUCUGUCUUGAAUAUUGUGGAGGUAAGCGGAAUAUGUCAUGUAGCGGUGAAAUGCUUAGAUAUGACAUAGAACACCUAUUGCGAAGGCAGCUUACUACGCAUAUAUUGACGCUGAGGCACGAAAGCGUGGGGAUCAAACAGGAUUAGAUACCCUGGUAGUCCACGCCCUAAACGAUGGAUACUCGACAUACGCGAUACACUGUGUGUGUCUGAGCGAAAGCAUUAAGUAUCCCACCUGGGAAGUACGUCCGCAAGGAUGAA
rnacentral:rRNA from 1 species